UACGUAGGGUGCAAGCGUUGUCCGGAAUUAUUGGGCGUAAAGAGCUCGUAGGCGGUCUGUCACGUCGGACGUGAAAAUCCAGGGCUCAACCCUGGACCUGCGUUCGAUACGGGCAGACUAGAGUUCGGUAGGGGAGACUGGAAUUCCUGGUGUAGCGGUGAAAUGCGCAGAUAUCAGGAGGAACACCGGUGGCGAAGGCGGGUCUCUGGGCCGAAACUGACGCUGAGGCGCGAAAGCUAGGGGAGCGAACAGG
rnacentral:rRNA from 1 species